GAUGAAGAACGUAGCGAAAUGCGAUAAGUAAUGUGAAUUGCAGAAUUCAGUGAAUCAUCGAAUCUUUGAACGCACAUUGCGCCCGCGAGUAUUCUCGCGGGCAUGCCUGUCCGAGCGUCAUUUCAACCCUCAGGGCCCGCCUGCUUGCAGGCGCGGCGCUGGUGUUGGUGAUCGGCUACCCUGCCGUCCCCCAAAUACAGUGGCGGUCUCGCUGCAGCCUCCCCUGCGUAGUAGCAACACUCGCAUGCGGAGCGCGGCGCGGCCACGCCGUAAAACCCCCGACUUUCUGAACGUUGACCUCGGAUCAGGUAGGAAUACCCGCUGAACUUAAGCAUAUCAAUAAGCGGAGGA
rnacentral:misc_RNA from 1 species